rnacentral:piRNA from 1 species
UAUCGGAGAGGAUAUUUGUUCAUUGCUGC